UAAGGCUGUAUCCGGUUCCGGUUCUGGGUCUAUUUGGGUAAACGGUUCCGGUUCUGGCGGUUCCCGGUUCUGGCGGUUCCGGAGCCGGAACCGGAACCAUACGGUUCCGGAACCACCCUCCGGUUCUGGCGGUUCCGGAACCGCGGGUCUGGUGGUUCCGACCUUUUUUUUUCUUUUUUUUUUAAUUAAAUAUCUUGUAUAGUAGUGAUUAGUAUAUUGUAGAAUAUAUUUUUAUAUGGUGUACUAUGUU
rnacentral:lncRNA from 1 species